CCCGUGCCCCGCCCCUCCGAGCCCAGCGCGCUCGCCUCGCUCCCGGACUACAGGUCCCGGCGCGCUCCGCUGAUGCGGCCUCCCGGGGCGGCGCCGCGGUUGCUAGCUAACGGCGCGCCGACGACGCCGGCAGCGCUGAGGGGUACGGGCUGCGGGCCUGGUUCCGCGGACCCGAGAGCCCCCGGCCCUGCCUGAGACCCCCGAGACUCGCCGCCCUCGAGGGCACUGGGACCUUCGGCGCAGGCGGAGCCGUAGAAGACCGGCGGCCGCAGCUGCCAAGCACUCUCUGCACAGCAGACCCCCGAAGCUGCCUCUUAGCUCCAACUCUUUCCUGCCUGUUCUUCCUCGAACCUACUCCAAUCAGACUUCCACCCGGCCACUUCUCUGAAGCUCUUUAUUAAAGUCAUCCUCAACCUCGAUGCUGCGAAAUCCAGCGACCAGGCUCUCAUCUCCUCCUCCUGUCAGCAGUAGGUGACCCAGAAUGACUGCCUGAGUUCUUGCCAUUACUUCCUGAGCCCAGGCAGGACAAGAAAAAGAGAAGAAGGAUAUAUGCCUUUCCCUUUCAAAGAGACUUUCCAGAAGUCUCACACCCUCCUAUUUCUCAGAAGUCAGGAACUUAGCCAUGUGACCGUACUGCACUGCCGGGGAGGCUGGGAAAUGUCAUCUUUCAGCUGAGCAGCAGUAGGCCCAACUGAAAGUUGAGAUUUGUUACUCAGGGAAGGGGAAGUUGAGAUUGAAGAGUAAGCAGGAAAAUCCCCACCUGGGCUGUGCUUUGAGCAUAAGCCACUGGGGCAGGACUUGGUAGCAGUCCUCAGGAGACUGGCUUUAGUCGUGGGAAAGGAGCAUAUUUUAAUAACAUACAUUUGAGAUCUUAUGCAAAUGAGUCAUCUCUAGUGGCUGAGAACGCUAAGCUGGUUUGUCUGAUGGAACUUAACGUUCCUCAUAUACUCGCAUUUCUGUCAGAAGGAUUGCUAAGGGAAGAGAAGCUCUGCUCCAACCCACCUGCCAAGUUGCCUCAAAUGGGAGAUAGGCAAGCCCUGCCUAGUGGAAUCAAAAAUCAAUAGAAAAAAAUCAGUAAGCUUGGGAAUUAAAUCCCACCUCCCACAUUUCCUACCCGAAGAUGUAACUGUUUUGACCAAGAUCACAGGCAGGUUUUGGCAGGGAUUCAGAAUCCAAGCAUCCAUUUCCUCAUGCUCACCCUGGCCCACCCGCUCUGUGCCUUAGUCGGGCUGCAGAGCCCUGCCUCAGGAACCUUCAGGCUAGAGGGUGAGAGGCUGGAGUGAGCUGGGCUCAGAGGCCUCCACCCCAGAGCCCUGCUCCAUCCAGCCAAGAAGACCGGCCCCGGAGGGCUUGUGUGGUUCCCAUGCUCCUCUUUGACCGGCUUCCCCUUGGGCACCCGGCCUUGCUUUCCUCGGAACGUUCCAGGCUCCAGGACAGAGGUGGGCAGGACACACCCACCUGGGCCCUGGAGCAGCUCCCACAGCACGUACCCCCGGCCCCACCCAGGCUCAGGGAGCCUCUUCCUGGGGUCUUCCAGACAGAUCCAGGAAUGCUGGGGGAGGGACCCUCAUCCCCAGCAGCUUCCUCCUGGGACUCAGGUGGGGACAGAAAACUCACUCUUUAACACCAUCCAUCACACGAUUUGCCCAGUUUACUCCUUUCCUGCGAGCUGGACCCUACGGUGUCACCUUCCUGAUCACGUUGAUGAGAGUAGGUCUCAGGAAGGUCUGGCUCAUCCUGAGAAGUCACCAGGGGUCAGGCAAGGACUAAGCCCAGCCUGGGCCUUGCGCUCACCCAGGGAGAAAACUUUGGGUACCGGGAGCCCCACCUCCAUCCCAAACUCUGCUUGACACAGGCUAUUUUUUCCAUUCUUAGAAAAUACUCUUGUGGCAUCUAUCUCCCAAUUAAAGGAGAUGGGGGACUGCACUCUGACAUUAUAGGGUCCAUGUAAAUAAAGGCUUUAGAAAACAUGUUUUGUAAAAGGCGGUGUGGUCUUUGAGUGGGGCUUCUCCCUGACUACGGAAGGCAUCUCUUAAAGUCAAACUGAGAGCAAGCACAGUUGAGGGUCCGAGGUCUUUUUUCUGUUUUUACCCUCGGCAUGGAUUGCAGACAUUUCUGGGCACUGAUGCAAUGCCCGCUCUGGGGUGACAGCCAGGCCUGGGGAAGAGGCCGCCUGACCCCAGGGCUCACAGAGCCCAGCAGCUCUCAGGUG
rnacentral:lncRNA from 1 species